UACGGAGGAUGCGAGCGUUAUCCGGAUUUAUUGGGUUUAAAGGGUGCGUAGGCGGACUGUUAAGUCAGCGGUAAAAAUUCGGGGCCCAACCCCGUCAUGCCGUUGAAACUGGCGGACUAGAGUGGGCGAGAAGUAUGCGGAAUGCGAGGUGUAGCGGUGAAAUGCAUAGAUAUCACGCAGAACUCCGAUUGCGAAGGCAGCAUACCGGCGCCCAACUGACGCUGAGGCACGAAAGCGUGGGGAUCGAACAGG
rnacentral:rRNA from 1 species